CAAAGGUGAGCCAGUACAGGAUGGACCCGCGUCUGAUUAGCUAGUUGGUAAGGUAACGGCUUACCAAGGCGACGAUCAGUAGCCGACCUGAGAGGGUGAUCGGCCACAUUGGAACUGAGACACGGUCCAAACUCCUACGGGAGGCAGCAGUGGGGAAUAUUGCACAAUGGGCGAAAGCCUGAUGCAGCAACGCCGCGUGAGUGAUGAAGGCCUUCGGGUCGUAAAACUCUGUCCUCAAGGAAGAUAAUGACGGUACUUGAGGAGGAAGCCCCGGCUAACUACGUGCCAGCAGCCGCGGUAAUACGUAGGGGGCUAGCGUUAUCCGGAUUUACUGGGCGUAAAGGGUGCGUAGGCGGUCUUUCAAGUCAGGAGUGAAAGGCUACGGCUCAACCGUAGUAAGCUCUUGAAACUGGGAGACUUGAGUGCAGGAGAGGAGAGUGGAAUUCCUAGUGUAGCGGUGAAAUGCGUAGAUAUUAGGAGGAACACCAGUUGCGAAGGCGGCUCUCUGGACUGUAACUGACGCUGAGGCACGAAAGCGUGGGGAGCAAACAGGAUUAGAUACCCUGGUAGUCCACGCUGUAAACGAUGAGUACUAGGUGUCGGGGGUUACCCCCUUCGGUGCCGCA
rnacentral:rRNA from 1 species